CAGAACCUCCACCCACCCAAAGCACCUGGCCCUCAGCCGGAGAUCUCAGACCUUCCAACGGAGGUAAGAGGUAAGACGCCUCCUUACCUCUUCCUACCUAGUCCUUGACUUGCCUGGCUUCUAAACAAGCUCGUGUACUUUGCUGUGGCAGCCCUAGGAACCAGUGCAUCAAGACAGGUCCCUGAGAUGCUUCUAGUUCCAGCAGAGGAUGAUCGCAGACAGCACUCUGAUUACUCCGAAGCUCCUCAACAGAUAUGAAGCACAAAGGAAGAAGGGAUCCAUUGGCAAUGGAAAAUGGAGGAGGGCUUCACAGGGGAGAGGGCAUCUACACUGUGACAUCCAGAUCCUGAGGGAAAGCCUGGGAGCUGUGGUCCAUGCUGGUGUGACGGAUGGUGGCACCUAGAUAUGACACAUUUAUGCCACACACAGCCUGAACAUCCGUAUAAAUGGCUCUCAUGGUCCCACCAAAAAGUCCUGCAUACCUGAAUCUCUCUCCAAGAUUUUGGAAGAAUAAAAUGAGAUGAAAUGGA
rnacentral:lncRNA from 1 species